rnacentral:rRNA from 1 species
GAUGAACGCUGGCGGCGUGCCUAAUACAUGCAAGUCGAGCGAACAGACGAGGAGCUUGCUCCUCUGACGUUAGCGGCGGACGGGUGAGUAACACGUGGAUAACCUACCUAUAAGACUGGGAUAACUUCGGGAAACCGGAGCUAAUACCGGAUAAUAUAUUGAACCGCAGGGGUCAAUAGUGAAAGACGGUGUUGCGGGCACGUAUAGAGGGAUCCCGGCCGGAUUAGCUGGUUGGGAAGGUAACGGCUUACCAAGGCAACGAUGCGUAGCCGACCGCUGAGGGUGGUAGCCCACCCUGGAGCGGAGACACGCUCCAUGCUCCUACGGUACGCCGCAGUCGGGUACCUGACGCAAUGGGCGAGAACUUGACGGAGCGAGGCGGCGUCAGAUGUGGCGGUCUUCCGUUCGUAAAGCUCUGUUACUAGGUGUGAACAAAUGUGUCAGUUACUAUGCACGUCGUGACGGUACCUAAUCAGAAAGCCCCGGCUAACUACGUG